rfam:TPA: Bos taurus chromosome 19, whole genome shotgun sequence.
UCCCUGGUGGUCCAGUGGUUAAGACUCUAGUCUUCCAAUGCAGGGGACACAGGUUCAAUCCCUGGUCAGGGAA